AAUUUACUAAUAAUAAAUUUGUUUACAUAGUUUGACUUUUUUUUUGUCCUGCACCUGAGCCCUGUGUGGGUUUGUGGGAUGUGCGCAACUUUCUUACACUUUGGUUUUUGCAGUACUUGUAUGUCAUGCAUCACAGUGAUGUGCUGUUG